AAUGAGGGAAUACAUUUCUGUCAUUUUUGACUCCAAGUUUAUCGUAAUCUGUUUAGGUAGCACCAAAAAUCUAAUAUAGUAAACCAGUGGUUAGUAAAUGUUUUUUUAAAAGUUGGAAUGACCCAAGAUAACUGAUAUAUACAUAUAUAUAUAUAUAUAAGUUAUAUCAAUAUGUAUAUCCUAUAAUGAUACAUAUGUAUCAAUAUAUAUCAUAUAUCAAUAUGAUAUAUACAUAUAUAUAUCAGUUAUCUUGGAUAUAUAUAUGUAAAAUCUACCUAAAAAUUAACAUAAAAUAUAAUAAGAGAGCUUGUUUGAAAACAUACAUUCCUGGUUCCUAGGUAUUCUGUAGCUAUUCUGAUGCAAUAAACCUAGCUUAGCAGCCAGUAGUAUGUUCUAGAACUCUUAGCCAUCAUCAGAUGGGACACUUGUCAGCCACCUCUGGCUGGAGCCAACAUAGUUGGACCUUAAUCUUGUUCUCUGAAAUAAAAUUUAAAUGACUUGAGAGAUGGGAGGGGGGACACUUUUCUUGGCUUCCAUUCUCCAGUAGUCUCAGACUUCAGUGGAGCCUUAAUUUGCAGCUAAUUAACCUGUCAAUCUUACUUAGAAGAAAUGGGUUUCCUUCAGUCUUUGGGCAGAUAAUGCUGACACCUGAAGAGGUGUUUGCCAGCUUUCUGAGUCUUAGAUAAGUCACUUCUGAUCCCAAAUCACAGAAAUCAAUCCUAGCUAACUUAAACAUAAGCUAGUAAUAGAAUACAUGCAUACAUACAUACAUGCAUAAGGAAGUCCCAGCGAGAGCUGAACAACCAGCUUGGGUACAGGUGGACCCAAGGCAAAUCAGUCACACACAUUAGCAUCAGUUCCAGCCACUACCCUCACUCAACAGCAUGGAUCCUAAGGUCUGUUCCUAACUUUCAGAUUCCUCAGAGCCAAGUCUGAUGGGCUCCAUUUAGGUCAUGGUGCCCUGGACCAAUCUGCUAUAGUCAAGAAAGCCUAGGGUCAUAGAAUUCAGACGCAGCAGCCAGGAGCCCGGGCAUGUGAUUAGGAGCCAGUUCUCUGAGGAGGAAAAUGAGAGUGUGGCAGCUGCUCCAGGAGGCUGCUACUCUUCUGAUCCCUUCCCCCACCUCCUACCUUCAGUCUCUCUCUGGGAACAGACCAUAAACUUCUCCCAGGGAGAGACUCCAUCUUCCCUUCGCCGUGCACGCUCCAUUCCAGACCAACCCCUUUCUGAAAUGCCCAGAGUCCUCUUUCCGAACAGGCCCCACCCAUGCACAAUGUGGAUUCUUGAAUUUCUGUGAAAUCCCCUCUGUGCAGGGGAUUCUUCAGGAUCCAUGAGAUGAUACUGCUCUUUGGACACCAGGAAAUCAGAGCUCAAGAGUGUUGGUUUGGGUUAUUUUUCUAGUGUAGUUAUGGUCAUGCUGAGUCAUUCAUACUAGUUUCCCCUGUUACCUCACACGUUGGGAGUGAACUGGCUGAUUGGGAGGUAUAGUCUGCUGCCACUUGCGCAACAGAGCUUUCCCCAUUGGAAAGGUUGGGUGGCCAGUGCAGGGAGUGAAAAUUUAAUCCAGGCACAAGAGCACCGCACCCUAGAUAGAAUGCAUUGGCCAUUUUGAAAAUGACUUAUGUCCAUACCACGUCGCGUCUCCUCUCCCCAACCUCUCUCUCAAAGGGGAUCUGAGCACACUGUUGAAAAUCAAAGCAGUUUCCUUAGGUACCUUCACACUUUAUUCUUUCUCCACAGACACUAUUUUAGCUACCACAUCAUCAAACAUCAGCCAUAACAACACAAUUAGCUCUUAUGUGUCACAGUAAGUUGCCACAAGACUCAGCUGUGUUGUCCUCAGAAUUGAACUUAAAAAAAAAAAAAAAAAAAAAA
rnacentral:lncRNA from 1 species